rnacentral:rRNA from 1 species
UACGUAGGUGGCAAGCGUUGUCCGGAUUUACUGGGUGUAAAGGGCGCGUAGGCGGGAUGGCAAGUCAGAUGUGAAAUCCAGGGGCUCAACCCCUGAACUGCAUUUGAAACUGUCGUUCUUGAGUACUGGAGAGGUUGACGGAAUUCCUAGUGUAGCGGUGAAAUGCGUAGAUAUCGCGCAGAACUCCGAUUGCGAAGGCAGCAUGCCGGCUCCACACUGACGCUGAGGCACGAAAGCGUGGGUAUCGAACAGG